CUGGAAUGCGUCACAAAUAGACCAACCUACUCGUUCGUAUUCACGUGCAUUAUAGUCGAAUAAUUGAAAGAAAGAUGAUGAGCACAGUAAACUUCACAAAUGAGGAGAAACGAUCUGCUUCACCGGCCCAAGGGCACCGAAUUCAUGUUAACGCUGACGUGAGGGGAACCCAGCGUGGUCUUCUGCUGCUGUAGCCCAUUCGAUUCAAGGUUCGACGCAUUGUGCGUUCCGAGAUGCCCGUCUGUACACCAAUGAAUAUCCUCUCCUGAAUGAUCCCUCCUUUGAGUAGAGGAGGAGAGGAAAAGAGGGAAGGAAGGGAGGAAGGAAGGGGUGUCGAGAGCCAAUCAGACAGCAGCGGUGAGAAAAGAGAGCGUUUGAUUCGCCGUC